CUUCAUUAAAAGCAUAAGCAUCUUCUCAACUGCAGCCAUGGAGACUCAAAGAGAUCUUUAACCAAAUGUAAGUAUCUUGAAUAAGUCAUUAUUUAUCUUUUAUAUGGGCAAACUUUCUUUUUCUAUUUUCAGUGGAUUUAUUUAUUAUUUAUUUAUUGUCUUUCCCUUUCCCAUACAGGUUCCAGACAAGAGCAAAAGAAAGAAGUACCUCUUUGAGCCCCAAAGUGAGAAGAAACUAUAGAUUAGAAGCAAAGUGAGAAAUUCAUAUCUUAGACUUAAUUAAAACCAUAUAUGUGAAAAGAUGUCUUAAGGAGAAAAUGCCUGUAGAAUGAACCUCAGGAAAUGUAUUUUAUAUCAGGUUUGUCUAAAUUGUAUUAAAAUGUGAGAAUCAACGUGAUAAAAGUAGAAAAGCUGAAGUGGAACAACUUCACAGGAAAGGUGACCUUGAGGUUACAGUUCUGAUUGUUAAAUUAGGAUCUUUUCCCACUGAAUGAUUUCUUCUAGGGCUGAUAUGUUUUGAUUUUUUUUUGACUUGUUUGCUUUUUAUAAAUGAUGAUGGUGAUGGAUAUAGGUAGAAAGAUGAUAGAAAUCUGAGAACUUCCAUGUCGAGGAAUAUGCAAUAAGAAAAUAAUAAAAUAUAUAUGCAAAAAAUAUGUAUAAAAUUGAAUCUAUGCCAUUACAUUACAUAUAACCUGGUUAGACGGUAAUGUAUUAAAUCAAUUAAAAUAUUUGUAUGCAAUAAAAUAGCAUGCAAAUGUUUAAAGUAUAUUGCAUUGAAACAUUUUGAUAUGGAAAAUGUACCUGGCAUGAUUUAAAUGAGAGAAAUAAAACUGUUUAUAUAAUUUAAUUAUAUUUUUAAAAACAUACAUACAGUGAAUAAUGGAAAACUAUAUGUACAAGUUAUUAGCAAUGAUCACUUUUGGCCAUAGGUUUCACAAAUGUAUUAUUUUAUGGAAUGUCAUGUUUUACUAAGACUUAGGAAAACUUGAUGUCAGGAUAAAUGCUACUUUGUUCACAGAAUGAAUCAGACCAUUGAAAGUUUAAUUUGUAAUUAUAAAAUUUCUAAGAGCCUAGCAUUAUCUAAAUACAAAGAAAACCAAAAAGUGUAAAUAAUUUUAAUUCUAAAUAUACUUUUACCUAAAAGGUAAACUUUCAUAUAAUAUUUAUAUCAUUUUCUUCAAUAGUAGUGUUAAAUUAGUGAUGUUCUCCAAAAGAAGUCAGUAAACAUGUGUUAGGAUUAGACAAGUGAAGCUGAGAAUUCAUUAUUCAGUUAACAACUUAGGUACUCUCCCAAAUUGUAUACGGUUUCUGUUGAAUGAGAAUAUUAGAAAUUUGGCAACAAUCCUGAUAAAUAUAUUAAUAACUUAAUAUCCAAUAAAUCCAGAUACUGAUUUAAAAACAUGAUUCUUCAAUAAGAAACCAA
rnacentral:lncRNA from 1 species